UACAUACUCCCUCCGUCCGGAAAUACUUGUCAUUGAAAUGGAUGUAUCUAGAUGUAUUUUAGUUCUAGAUACAUCCAUUUUCAUCCAUUUUGAUGACAAGUAAUUCCGGACGGAGGGAGUAAUUA
rnacentral:pre_miRNA from 1 species